CUUCUUGGCAAGCCUUGCUCCUGAAACUGUCAUGGUCAUGAAUGAACCAUUUUACGUUUGCUUUGAUGACGAAGUCGAAAAAGUGUGAAUGUAAUUAAGAAGAUACCACCGUACAUAAAAUAACAGAAGACAAGUGUUUAAAAAUUAUUUAAUUGUAACAGUAAGAUAAAAAAUGAAUUUUACUCCGUUUGGCGUGCCUUUAACGGCUGCGCUGCCUGUGGCUACUCAAUUUACCGCCGGAAAGAUAACUCAAAACGUCACUACUCCUAACGGACAAGUAGUCGGUGUCUUGCAGGGUGGUGAAAACGGUGUACACUACAUACGUCCAUUAGAUACCAAUGCCUUUGCUACUGCAGCCUCUCAACAAAAUCAGGGAACACAAAUCAUAACGCUGCCUAUAACAAUGCCAGGUGCUAAACCUGGAGACCCCCAACAAACUGUGCAGAUACAAGUAGUGAAUCCUCAACCGACGCCCGUAUCCCAAGCAAGUCCUGCCAGUUCACCUAAGUAUCAGAUUUCUCAAAUACCAAUGUUCAGCCAAGGUGCUACUGUACUCACUGUUGCCUACAAUUCCAACCAGGAAGGAAUCCAGAUUUUGGAUGGCCAGAACGGUGUACCAGAAGGAAUGACGGUAGUAGCAGCGCUCCAACCUCAGGACAUACAAUUAAUUCAAACUCAUGCAACCGAGUUGGAGAAAAACGAUAAGGAGCUACAACCUCCAGUUGCGUUGAUCAAAAGCGAGCUUAAAGAUACCGACGAAACGGCAGCUUCUAUUUCAGUUCCCACCCAAUAUUUACAAACGACCAAUCUGCACGAGUACAUUCAAAAAAUGCAAAAUACAACGUUACCUCUCAGUCUACAACAGUUCUUAAAGUUCAACACUACAGAUAUUAAGAGGGAAAUAAUCUCGGAAGAUGGAUUGAUUGAAGCAGUUAGCAUCGCUGCUCCUGACGGUAAUGGCCAUCUGAUCAUGCAAGAUGUAGGAGAGAUGGAGACUGAGGAGAAUCCAGAUGAUUCCAACGAUAAAGGGAAAAAGAAAAAAAAAUAUAAAAAGAAACCACCGAAGCCAAAAAAGCCUAAACCAGGUCAAGUACACAUUGCUACAGCUCUCGAUGGCACCACUCUCUUCUGUUGUCCGGAAUGUCACAUGGCGUAUCCACAAAAAGAGCUCCUUGAACAACACUUGGUGGGUCAUAAAAUCGAGCGACGUUUCAUCUGUGACAUUUGUGGAGCUGGUUUGAAACGCAAGGAACACUUGGAACGUCACAAGUUGGGUCACAAUCCCGAACGACCUUUCGUAUGUUCAGUCUGUAUGAAGGGGUUCAAGAGGAAAGAACAUCUCAACUUGCAUUUUGUAAUUCAUUCGGGAGAGAAGACGGAAAUAUGUGGAGAAUGUGGCAAAGGAUUCUACAGAAAGGAUCACUUGAGGAAACAUGCUAGGUCUCACAUCACUAGAAGAAUAAAAGAACAAGCAGAACAAGCAGAGAGAACGCAGGGGUUACUCAAAGAUCCAAUUACGUCAAGUACAAGUACUGCCCAAGUUACCAUUAGUGUUGGUGGAGAACUAUGAGUUCUGCUUCACAGCGAUCCAUACUAUUGCUAGACCUACCAGUAGGUAGAAGAAGUAUAGAUUCCAACAUCCCUUCAACGUCAAAGAUAUCAAUUUUAUCUGAUGUUUCCAUAUCCAAAGCUUACUAUCCAACAAGCAAGAAACAUACUUUUUACGGUACAGAAAAUUGCCAAUCUGCUGAAUUGGAUCUAGUUACUAUGAAAACGUCUCCUUCCAAGUAUGCUCCUUUUGGAGAGACAACAAAUGAGGUUCAUUGUGGUAAUCAGAUUGAUGUACUUACUUGUGAAGAACCGGAAGUUUUGGAGUUCACUUCAAACCCCCCACCAAGGACUUGUUGUAAUUCAAACCAUAUAUUGGAAACCGGGUGCAACAGUCACGUAUUACCACAUAUACCUACAGUUUUUGGGAAAAAGUCAAUCUUUCUCCCUUCGGGAGCCUCCAGCCUCAUACAUCACCGGUGAUGCUACUCAUAAGGCGAAGACUACAGGAUGCAUCUAGAUAGACAGCAGCACUCAACAUCUACAACACCACCAAGACCGUAGCUGCAGGGACCUAGGGCCACAUCUGCCCAGGUCUACAAGUCAACAGCUGUACCACUGGACAUCAAGAAGUUACCAUCGAACCAACACCACAAGCCAUGCACAACUAUAAUAAAAGAAUUGUUAGUUUUUUUUUAAGAAUUUGAAUAUAUUUGUUAAUGCAUUUAAUAAGUCACAUUUUUAUUAUAUCUUUAUUUAACAAUAAACAUGAUUGG
rnacentral:misc_RNA from 1 species